rnacentral:rRNA from 1 species
GACGAACGCUGGCGGCGUGCUUAACACAUGCAAGUCGAACGGAAAGGCCCUGCUGUUGUGGGGUGCUCGAGUGGCGAACGGGUGAGUAACUCGUGAGUAACCUGCCCUUGACUUUGGGAUAACUUCAGGAAACUGGGGCUAAUACCGGCUAGGAGCUCCUGCUGCAUGGCGUGGGUUGGAAAGUUUCGGCGGUUGGGGAUGGACUCGGGGCUCAUCAGCUUGUGGGUGGGGUAGUGGCUUACCAAGGCUUUGACGGGUAGCCGGCCUGAGAGGGUGACCGGCCACAUUGGGACUGAGAUACGGCCCAGACUGCUACGGGAGGCAGCAGUGGGGGAUAUUGCACAAUGGGCGGAAGCCUGAUGCAGCAACGCCGCGUGCGGGAUGACGGCCUUCGGGUUGUAAAGCGCUUUCGCCUGUGACGAAGCGUGAGUGACGGUAAUGGGUAAAGAAGCACCGGCUAACUACGUG